GACGAACGCUGGCGGCGUGCUUAACACAUGCAAGUCGAACGAUGAAGCCUAGCUUGCUAGGUGGAUUAGUGGCGAACGGGUGAGUAAUACGUGAGUAACCUACCUUUAACUCUGGGAUAAGCCCGGGAAACUGGGUCUAAUACCGGAUACGACCAAUCUCCGCAUGGGGUGUUGGUGGAAAGCGUUAUGUAGUGGUUAUAGAUGGGCUCACGGCCUAUCAGCUUGUUGGUGAGGUAACGGCUCACCAAGGCGACGACGGGUAGCCGGCCUGAGAGGGUGACCGGCCACACUGGGACUGAGACACGGCCCAGACUCCUACGGGAGGCAGCAGUGGGGAAUAUUGGACAAUGGGCGAAAGCCUGAUCCAGCCAUGCCGCGUGUGUGAAGAAGGUCUUCGGAUUGUAAA
rnacentral:rRNA from 1 species